rnacentral:rRNA from 1 species
AUUGAACGCUGGCGGCAGGCCUAACACAUGCAAGUCGAACGAGUGGCGGACGGGUGAGUAAUGUCUGGGAAACUGCCGGAUGGAGGUGGAUAAAUACUGGAAACGGUAGCUAAUACCGCAUACCAUCAGCUGUGACCAGAUGGGAUGCGCGAGUUGGUGGGGUAACGGCUCACCAAGGCGACGAGGCCUAGCUGGUAUGAGAGGAUGACCAUCCACACUGGAACUGAGACACGGUCCAGACUCCUACGGGAGGCAGCGGUGGGGAAUAUUGCACAAUGGGCGCAAUCAUGAUCCAGCCAUGCCGCGUGUAUGAAGUAGGCCUUCUGGUUGUAAAGUACUUUCAGCGGGGAGGCGUUACCCGCAGAAGAAGCACCGGCUAACUCCGUGCCAGCAGCCGCGGUAAUUC